GACGAACGCUGGCGGCGUGCCUAAUACAUGCAAGUCGAACGCAGGGGGGACGGGUGAGUAACACGUGGGUAACCUCCCAUCAGAGGGGCUAACACUUGGAAACAGGUGCUAAACCGAUACUGAUGGAUGGACCCGCGGUGCAUUAGCUAGUUGGUGAGGUAACGGCUCACCAAGGCCACGAUGCAUAGCCGAACUGAGAGGAAGAUCGGCGACACUGGGCCUGAGAGACGGCCCCGAUUCCUACGGGAGGAAGCAGUGGGGAAUCUUCGGCGAUGGACGAAGGUCUGACAUAACCAAGCCGCGUGGGUGAAGAGGGGUUUCGGAUCGUAAGGCUCUAUUAUUAGGGAGACGGUAUCUACCUAGAAAGCCACGGCUAACUACGUGCCAGCAGACGCGGUAAUUC
rnacentral:rRNA from 1 species